AAUAAGUGCAGCCGUGAAUAUCUGUGCCCAACGUUUGACCGUCCGUCUUAUUUAAAAAAUUGUGAAAAAUUUGAAAAUGUCACACAUAAAGUACUAUUCAUGUUUUAUCAUCUAAUAGCAAUAAAAAUACUAAUCAUAAAAAAAUUUCAAAUAAGACGAACAGUCAAACGUUGAACGUAAAUAGUGCAAAACUGCACUUAUU
rnacentral:pre_miRNA from 1 species